rnacentral:rRNA from 1 species
UGUGGUGGCGAUAGCAAGAAGGAUACACCUGUUCCCAUGUCGAACACAGUAGUUAAGCUUCUUAGCGCCGAUGGUAGUUGGGGGUCUCCCCCUGUGAGAGUAGGACGUUGCCACGC